AGCGAACGCUGGCGGCAGGCUUAACACAUGCAAGUCGAGCGGGCAUAGCAAUAUGUCCGCGGCAGACGGGUGAGUAACGCGUGGGAACGUACCUUUUGGUUCGGAACAACUGAGGGAAACUUCAGCUAAUACCGGAUAAGCCCUUACGGGGAAAGAUUUAUCGCCGAAAGAUCGGCCCGCGUCUGAUUAGCUAGUUGGUGAGGUAAUGGCUCAUCAAGGCGACGAUCAGUAGCUGGUCUGAGAGGAUGAUCAGCCACAUUGGGACUGAGACACGGCCCAAACUCCUACGGGAGGCAGCAGUGGGGAAUAUUGGACAAUGGGCGCAAGCCUGAUCCAGCCAUGCCGCGUGAGUGAUGAAGGCCCUAGGGUUGUAAAGCUCUUUUGUGCGGGAAGAUAAUGACGGUACCGCAAGAAUAAGCCCCGGCUAACUUCGUG
rnacentral:rRNA from 1 species